rnacentral:piRNA from 2 species
CGGGGCUGGAGAGAUGGCUCAGCGGUUAA